UCUUUUAAACUUGAUUUAUGCCGACAACCGUGUAAUUAUUUUUAUUAAAUAAUAAUAUACAUAAUAUAAGUUUUGAACACCCUACCAUCAUGUUAUCCUAAAAUAUCCAUUUGAAGGAAGAAUCGUUUUAAACAUAAAAAUAGUUGACGAAUGACGGGUCUAAAAUAGUGGUGUAGAUACGAUUUUUUCUGGGGGCGGGAGGUGGAAAUCCCUUACACUCCCCUCCCACCCCGUAACUACACCACUAGUCUAGAAGUAUAGUUUUCUGCAAUAAAUAUAGUACCAAGGAUAUACUACUCAUUUUACGUUAAAUAUUCAAACAACUCUGAAUAUAGUUUACAGUCAUUUUUGUUUUUAUUUAAGUAUUACCUACGUCUAAACUUUUAAUGCAAUAUGAAACUAAAAACUAUUUUUACUAUGGCCAUAUGAUGUUACUCGAAAUGUAAUAAAUCAUUAUGAUUAAUUUAAUCAGAUUUACACCUGCUGGAUACUAUUGUAGUAUGUUAUAGUUAUGUAUAGCGGUACUCCAGUUAAGACGCAAAGACGAUAAUAAGAAUAUAUAACUUUGGUUAAAGUUGUGAACAAAUAAGUUGAUGGUCGAAUUUUACGGUGAAUGAUUGUUUCUUAAUAUUACGUAUGAUACGACUUUAUACAUGGCUGAAUAGCGAAUAAAAUACAUUAACUAAGAACUGAUGAUAACAAAUAGCAGAAAAAUCAACGGGUGGGAUUCCGGCGAGUACCUACACAUUUCCUAUACACAGUAUUCAUGUCCACACUUCCACAUUUCACUGAACUAAAAGUUUGAUGUAAAUCGUUAGACUUUGUUAGUUUACGAAACGAUUACGAAUAACUAUUUUAUAUACGGACAAAAACAACACUGAGUUCCAUUUGUAAUCAUUUUAGUUGACCGAUGAUAAAUGGUUUUUUGUUUAUAAUAACAAUAACGCGAUUUAACACGUUCACUCGCAAAAUACUUGUACACAAAACGGUCAAAAACAUGAAAUUAAAUUCGGAUGGUGUAAGCAAUUUAGAAAUGUUUCUAAUGUACAUUAUUCACUUUUUCUUGCAUUAAAAAAAUACUAUUUACUUAACAAAUAUCUGGUAGUGAGAUUAACUUUUUUUCAAUACCUUUAAAAUGUUUCCGCAUAAAUGUUAAUGUUUUUUUUUUUUUUUAUUAUACAUUUAUAAACCGUUUAUUACUUCCA